GAGAGAAGCUUGCUUCUCUUGAGAGCGGCGGACGGGUGAGUAAUGCCUAGGAAUCUGCCUGGUAGUGGGGGAUAACGUUCGGAAACGGACGCUAAUACCGCAUACGUCCUACGGGAGAAAGCAGGGGACCUUCGGGCCUUGCGCUAUCAGAUGAGCCUAGGUCGGAUUAGCUAGUUGGUGGGGUAAUGGCUCACCAAGGCGACGAUCCGUAACUGGUCUGAGAGGAUGAUCAGUCACACUGGAACUGAGACACGGUCCAGACUCCUACGGGAGGCAGCAGUGGGGAAUAUUGGACAAUGGGCGAAAGCCUGAUCCAGCCAUGCCGCGUGUGUGAAGAAGGUCUUCGGAUUGUAAAGCACUUUAAGUUGGGAGGAAGGGCCAUUACCUAAUACGUGAUGGUUUUGACGUUACCGACAGAAUAAGCACCGGCUAACUCUGUGCCAGCAGCCGCGGUAAUACAGAGGGUGCAAGCGUUAAUCGGAAUUACUGGGCGUAAAGCGCGCGUAGGUGGUUUGUUAAGUUGGAUGUGAAAU
rnacentral:rRNA from 1 species